AACGAACGCUGGCGGCAUGCCUAACACAUGCAAGUCGAACGAGACGUUCGGGUCUAGUGGCGCCCGUGUGCGUAACGCGUGGGAAUCUGCCCUUGGGUUCGGACUAACAGUCUGAAACGACUGCUAAUACCGGAUGAUAACGUAAGUCCAAAGAUUUAUCGCCCAAUGAUGAGCCCGCGUAGGAUUAGCUAGUUGGUGAGGUAAAGGCUCACUGAGGAGACGAUCCUUAGCUGGUCUGUGAGGAUGAACAACCUAACUGGGCCUGAGACACGGCCCAGACAGCUAUGGGAGUGAGCAGUGGAUUGUAAUAGACACGGCGCGAAGGUCUAGUCUAGCUAUGCCGCGUGAGUGUUGAAGACGUUAGGGUCGGAUAGCUGUUAUGCCCGGUGUGAUAAUUACAGGACCGGGAGAAUAAGCUCCGGCUAACUCCGUG
rnacentral:rRNA from 1 species